AGAGAGAGAGAGAGAGAGAUGUAACUACUGUCUACUAGGACUUUCAUUGUCAUCUUCAUGUUCAGCAAUUCCGUUGGAAUCAGAAAGACCAUGCUCUGGUCUAUUUUGGAAUGAAUCCUCAUCAUACUCGUAACCAUCAGAAUCUUCAUCAUCUCUCCAUUUCCUCUUCAUGAUUCUGGGAACCAAGCGGGUUACUUCUUUGGCCUCCAAGAUUACAUCAUAAUUGUUUAUCCGUUCAAAUCAAAUAGCACCGACUUUUCUGGCAUUUCCAGCUAAUAUCUAAAGUUUAUAUAUAUGAUGCUUUUCAUUGGGAUCUUGUCACUCAGACUUGCCUUCAGUUUGCUCAUCAUCUUCUUCUUGAUUUCCCUUCUCAAGGAUCACUUUGAUGCUCUCGCCUGUCCUUGGGAUGUAUCCAAAUGCCUCGCAUAUAAAACCUGAUACCGUCUCAUACUGAGCCUCUGGCAUUUUGAUAUUUAGGUCUUCAGAGAGUUGAUCAAUAGAUGUGUUAGCAUCAACAUCAUCCAUUUCCUCUGCUCGCAUUAGAAUGUAGCCAGUUUUCUUCUGUAUCUCCUCCUAUGAUCCAAUAAAUGAUAUCCUCGAUAAAAUCAAACAUGUGUACGAAUACUGGUGUCAGAUAAAGCUACAAAAACUUGCUACAUUCUCACAACCAGACAGCUUUAACACCCUAUAACAACCUCCAUAGGUACUUGAUGCCUCCUGUUACAUCAUCUAGAGUUCACUGACAAAAAUCUAUAGGAAGUCUAUUAGGAUUUAUAUGGUGUUGUUCAUGUUAGUAGUUACCAAGUCUUGUCAAAACCACAGAUGUACAAUUACUAUUUUACUCUUUUUGGACAACACAAAACUUCUAAAAACAUAAACAAUGGAUAAAUGUACAACACAAAUCUUCUAAAAUAUAAACAAAUGGUUAAAUUGAUAUGAACAUACAUAUAUAGAAACAACCAUUACACAUUCUUUAACAAGGAUUGUAGCUUGCAACAUGUCAUCUAAAGAUCAAGAUUAGCACGACUUCUUGCAGAGACUGCUAUCUUUAUCUCGUCUUGUCUACUAAACUCUGCAGCUUGCAUUUGAUUUUCUUUCCCUAUACAACUUAUUAACCAGAAAAUUUAAAAUAGCUUUGCUGCUAUUCCAUCACAAAGUGGAGAAAAAUAGUUGGCAUUCCAAAGAAAUCUACACAACCAUGAGAAUAUAAUCAGAAAAUGAAAAUCUACAACUCCACACAAGCAUAUUAACAAUGCACGAAAUGUUAUUUUCAGCUUUACUUUUGAAUCAUUUUCAUCGAAGAUUUCACCAACAAUCUCCUCAACAACAUCUUCAAGGGUUACUAUCUGCUUUGUCCACAGAAAUGAGAGAACAAAUAUUAGAUAACAUAAACAUAAAAUACAUCACGAGCAUAAUUGAAUAUUAACAUCGCCCUCAUCAAAGCUUCUACAAACAGAAAAUAAUAAUAAAUGUUCUGAGAGUUCAGCUGAGUGUUUAACUUCAAGGUGUCUAUAACCUGUCUUGUUUGCAUCAAUGUUAAACCUACAACUCCUAAAAUUGUUGCGAUAAACACAUUACACCAGUGUCAGGUACCCCAGACCAACUAGAAUAGCAAUCAACAAUUGCCUAUAGAAAUAUAGAUUUAACAUCUUUUUUUCCCCCUAUUUGAUAGCAGUUUGGCCUUAUAACGUGAUAUUUUUCAUCUUUUAAGCUUAUUGCUUUUGGAUGUCCUUACAAAAAAUUAUCCUUAAAAAAAAAAUUAAAUCUCUCUUAAAUUAGGGUAUUACAUAACCUCCUAAACAAUGAAGACUUUGAUAUUUGAAUAUUCUUGUUUAUUCCAUGUUGUUGAUUCUUUUAGUUUUAGAGGUACUUAGCAUGAAGCAAAUUUCUAUAGCAUCUCCAUUCACUACAAGACAUAAAAAAAAAAAAAAAAACCACCAAGGACAAAUGCAGGAUCUA
rnacentral:misc_RNA from 1 species